CCACCGCGCCUGGCUGGCAUCUGAAUUAUUUAAAAGAAAAGUGUUUAUUGAGAAUGACAAAAGCAAAAUAAACAAAAUGUAACCCUCUACUGAGAUCAUUUUCUGUUUGCUACUCUCACACUUGUAACAUGGUGGUUGAGGGUGACUAAAUCACCCAGAAUGGGAAGACUUUGUCACAUUUCUUCCUCACGAUGACUUUGAGGCAGAGUGGUUAUUAUUCUCAUUUGACUAAAAAGGAAACUAAGCCUCAGAACAGACAGCAUCUUCAAGCUCAGGCAGCUGAUAAGUGGGAUUUGAAGGCAGGUGUUUCUGAUGACCAUGCCCCAGCUCUGACCAGUGAAUAACAUCAGUAAGGCAGUUAACAGUUAUCAAGGCCUUUCUAGGUUUCAGCUGCUAUUCCAAGCUUUUAUUUUUUUUUAUUUUUUUUUUUGAGACAGAGUCUCACUCUGUUGAUCAGGCUGAAGUGCGGAGUGAGCCGAGAUUGUGCCACUGCACUCCAGCCUGGCUGACAGGGAAAGAUUCUGUCUCCAAAAAAAAAAAAAAAGAAAAGAAAAUUUCCAGUAUUCAAUACAAUAUUAUUAACUAUACAGUAGUCCUCCCUUAUCUAUAUUUUGGUUAUUCUGGUUUUGCUUACUGCGGUUUCAGUUACUCUUGGUCAACCAUGGUCAGAAAAUAUUAAAUGGAAAAUUCCAAAUAUAAACAUUUACAUAACUUUUAUUACAGUAUAUUGUUAUAAUUGUUCUAUUUUGUUAUUAUUGUUGUUAAUCUCUUACUGUGCCUAAUUUAUAAAGUUUAUCAUAGGUAGUAUAGGAAAAAACACAUAAUGUAAUAGUAUAUAACAGGUACUAUCCAUGGUUUCAGGCAUCCACUGGGGGUCUUGGAACAUCCACCACAGAUAAAGGGGCACUGCUGCAGUCCUCAUACUGCACAUUCGAUUCUGCGUAACCACAACUUUGUGCCCUUUGAGCAGAAUUUCCCAAUUCCUCUUACAGCCCCACCACAGGUAGCCAAAGUUCUACUCUUUGCUUCCAUGUAUUUGACUUUUUUUGAUUCCACAUGUAAGUGAGAUCAUGUAGUAUUUUCCUUUCUGUGUCUGCCUUGCUAUUAUUAAUGAUGACUUUGAACAAGUUGCUUACUUUCUCUGGGCCUAAAUUUCUUCAUCUGUAAAGUAAGAUAUUGAGCCUAACCUGUUUGGGGCAAUGGAGCCAUUUAAGAAUCUGAUGAGGGCUGGGCACGGUGGCUUAUGCCUGUAAUCCCAGCACUUCGGGAAGGGGAGGCGGGUGGAUUGCUUGAGCUCAGGAGUUCAAGACCAUCCUGGGCAACAUGGCGAACCCCAUCUCUACUAAAAAUACAAAAAUUAGCUGGGCAUGGUGGCAUGCCUGUAGUCCCAGCUACUCCGUGGGGAGGCAGGAGGAUCGCUUGAGCCCAGGAGGCAAAGGUUGCAGUGAGCCAAGAUUGAGCCAUUGCACUCCAGCCUGGGUGACAGAGUGAGACCCUGCCUCAAAAAAAAAAAAAAAGAAAAGAAAAAAA
rnacentral:lncRNA from 1 species